rnacentral:rRNA from 1 species
UACGUAGGGGGCGAGCGUUUGUCCGGAAUCAUUGGGCGUAAAGCGCGUGUAGGCGGCUCGGUAAGUCCGGUGUGAAACCUUGGGGGCUCAACCCCAAGCCUGCACUGGAUACUGUCGGGCUAGAGUCCGGAAGAGGCGAGUGGAAUUCCUGGUGUAGCGGUGAAAUGCGCAGAUAUCAGGAAGAACACCAAUGGCGAAAGCAGCUUUCUGGGACGGUACUGACGCUGAGACGCGAAAGCGUGGGGAGCGAACAGG